rnacentral:rRNA from 1 species
UACGUAGGGGGCUAGCGUUGUCCGGAAUCAUUGGGCGUAAAGAGCGCGUAGGCGGCCAGAUAAGUCCGGUGUGAAAGUCAGAGGCUCAACCUUUGAAUGCCGCUGGAAACUGUCGUGCUAGAGUACAGAAGGGGCAACUGGAAUUCUCGGUGUAGCGGUGAAAUGCGCAGAUAUCAGGAGGAACACCUAUUGCGAAGGCAGCUCGCUGGGACGUAACUGACGCUGAGACGCGAAAGCGUGGGGAGCAAACAGG